CAUCAAAAUAAUAUACAGAAAACAGCACUUAUGACCCAUUGUAUAAAAAGCAACCACACACCAAAUUUUGAUGAAACAACAAUCUUACAACAAGAACAACACUAUAACAAGCGACACACAUUGGAAAUGCUACACAUAAUUAACACACCAACCAACAAACGACUAAACUACAAGACAGACACAGAAAAUUGCGCUCACUUGUACAGACACCUCUUAAACAGCCAAACAACCUCAGUAACAAUCUCCACGUCAAAAAGCGCAGACGUGUAAAAUAAUUGCCCUGAAGACGGUUUGCCGAUGUGCAACCGAAAUAUAUCGGAAGAAAAUUAAAA